rnacentral:misc_RNA from 1 species
AAGUCGUAACAGGGUUUCCGUAGGUGAACCUGCGGAAGGAUCAUUAACAAUUUUGGAGGUAGGCUGUAUAAGUCUGGUUGGCAACAACUAGCAUGCCCCUCUAUUUUGUACCCUUGUCUAUUUGCGCACUCAUGUUUCCUCGGUGGGCUUGCCCGCCGAUUGGACAACCUUAAAACCUUUUUAAUUGUUAAAUCAGCGUCUGAAAUAAACUUAAUAAUUACAA